rnacentral:rRNA from 1 species
ACGAACGCUGGCGGCGUGCUUCACCCAUGCAAGUCGCACGGAAAGGCCUUUUCGGAGGUACUCGAGUGGCGAACGGGUGAGUAACACGUGGGUGAUCUGCCCUGCACUCUGGGAUAAGCCUGGGAAACUGGGUCUAAUACCGGAUAGGACCGCACUUUAGUGUGUGUGGUGGAAAGUUUUUUCGGUGUAGGAUGAGCCCGCGGCCUAUCAGCUUGUUGGUGGGGUAAUGGCCUACCAAGGCGGCGACGGGUAGCCGGACUGAGAGGUUGGUCGGCCACAUUGGGACUGAGAUACGGCCCAGACUCCUACGGGAGGCAGCAGUGGGGAAUAUUGCACAAUGGGCGCAAGCCUGAUGCAGCGACGCCGCGUGGGGGAUGACGGCCUUCGGGUUGUAAACUCCUUUCGCCAGGGACGAAGCGUUUUGUGACGGUACCUGGAGAAGAAGCACCGGCUAACUACGUG